rnacentral:rRNA from 1 species
AGCAGCCGCGGUAAUUCCAGCUCCAAUAGCGUAUAUUAAAGUUGUUGCAGUUAAAAAGCUCGUAGUUGAAUUUCGGGGUUCUACCGUCGGUCGGGCUUUGUCUGUACUGGCGUGUAGAAUUUCUACCUUCUGGGGAACCAUCAUGUCAUUAAUUUAACGUGGUGGGAAACCAGGACCUUUACCUUGAAAAAAUUAGAGUGUUCAAAGCAGGCUUAUGUCUGAAUACAUUAGCAUGGAAUAAUAAAAUAGGACGGUGGUCCUGUUUUGUUGGUUUCUGAAUCACCGUAAUGAUUAAUAGGGAUAGUUGGGGGCAUUAGUAUUCAAUUGUCAGAGGUGAAAUUCUUGGAUUUAU